AUUUGAUAGAACAAAACGCCAAGUAUUCUGGAGAGGGAUUGCGGAAUCAGUUCUCUUUCUCAAUUCUAUCAAAACUCUACUGAUAGAUAACGAUUCACUACUUCACUGAAAGAUGUCGCAGCAACAAGGCCAAUGUCAACAGAAAAAUAAUUAAAUUUUUACUCAAAGGAUUUCAGUCAAAUAAAAUGCCAUUGUAAAG